UUUUUUUUUUGUGUUAACGGCUACACACGUCGCUACAAUGGGCUGGUACAGAGAGAUGCAAUACCGCGAGGUGGAGCCAAACUUAAAAACCAGUCUCAGUUCGGAUUGUAGGCUGAAACUCGCCUACAUGAAGCUGGAGUUACUAGUAAUCGCGAAUCAGAAUGUCGCGGUGAAUACGUUCCCGGGUCUUGUACACACCGCCCGUCACACCAUGAGAGUUGGCAAUACCCGAAGUCCGUGAGCUAACCGCAAGGAGGCAGCGGCCGAAGGUAGGGUCAGCGAUUGGGGUGAAGUCGUAACAAGGUAGCCGUAGGAGAACCUGCGGUUGGAUCACCUCCUAAAAAGCU
rnacentral:rRNA from 1 species